UAGUCCACGCCGUAAACGAUGAGAACUAGCCGUUGGAUCUUUAGAUUCAGUGGCGCAGCUAACACGUUAAGCACUCCGCCUGAAGGGUAUAAUCGCAAGAUUGAAACUCAAAGGAAUUGACGGGGGCCCGCACAAGCGGUGGAGCAUGUGGUUUAAUUCGAAACAACGCGCAGAACCUUACCAACCCUUGACAUCCUGUGCUAUAUCCAGAGAUGGAUAGUUCCCUUCGGGGACGCAGUGACAGGUGCUGCAUGGCUGUCGUCAGCUCGUGUCGUGAGAUGUUCGGUUAAGUCCGGCAACGAGCGCAACCCACAUCCCUAGUUGCCAGCAGUUCGGCUGGGCACUCUAUGGAAACUGCCCGUGAUAAGCGGGGAGGAAGGGUGUGGAUGACGUCAAGUCCUC
rnacentral:rRNA from 1 species